UAAUACGUAGGGUGCGAGCGUUAAUCGGAAUUACUGGGCGUAAAGCGUGCGCAGGCGGUUCGUUAAGUUCGUCGUGAAAGCCCCGGGCUCAACCUGGGAACUGCGAUGGAAACUGGCGGGCUUGAGUGUGGCAGAGGGGGGUGGAAUUCCGCGUGUAGCAGUGAAAUGCGUAGAGAUGCGGAGGAACACCGAUGGCGAAGGCAGCCCCCUGGGCCAACACUGACGCUCAGGCACGAAAGCGUGGGGAGCAAACAGG
rnacentral:rRNA from 1 species